CGAGCGGUCUAAGGCGCUGGAUUUAGGCUCCAGUCUCUUCGGGGGCGUGGGUUCGAAUCCCACCACUGCCAGUGGUACGUUUUAGCACAACAAGGAUCCUGAAGUACUAACACUUUCUAACUAGUAAAAUAAUUAAAUCUUCCUUUCCCAGGAUUCUCCCGGAUUACACAGCAUCAGUUCCUCUGAAUUCUGCAUUCGUAAUUAAAAUCCUGAUUUCCAAUUGGCAUUUCUUUCGGUUAGGCAGGGAGGCCUUCUCGCUCGCGGUCUCCUACUUUAUCCGUUGUACUGACUCUCUGGACCCCAG
rnacentral:lncRNA from 1 species